AUCCGCUCCCGGAAACUCCCGCCUUUCUGGCCGCGCCCAUCCGGAGCUCCCUCCCCAUCCAGGAGGCGACCUCGGAUGCUCCCUCCUUUCUGGCCUUGCCCUUGCCCUCCCUCCCCGUGAUUCCGUUCUUCUCCUUGAGCCCUUGACUUUUUAUAAGGAGUGACCUGGAAGACCUCAGAGAAGAAACCCUAAGAGUACAGAAGAUUGUUUUCCUUUCAGAGAUUAGAAAACUGAGACUCGAGACCAGACUCAAGUAACCAGACCAAGUCACGCAGCUGUUAAGUAACAUGCCAUGGUAACAAAGGGCCUUGUGCUCACUACAGCAGAGCAUCCUGUCUUUGUCCAACCCAGCCCAGAACAUCAGUCUCUGCAAAUAACAAAAGAUGUGGCCACUCGGCCGCCUGUCGGUACCCCCACCAGAACACUGAGAAAGGUUGAGGCCUCUCCAACUGGAACUGAACUAGGAGAGCAGCAGACAGGUACUACAUAUCGGCUGACUGGGAGCAGGGCUUACAAAAGAGAGGUCAUGCUUAAUAAACCUGAUUAAUUUCUUUGAGUGGCAACAAUGUAAUCAGACAGGAGUGAAAGGAGGGAUAGUAAUUUAUCCUAAUUCCAAAGCACAGGAGUGCAGCUAAAACCAACACACAGAUUUUAUGGAGAUGCUGCUGGGGCCUGGAGGGUUCUGGUGGCGUUCAGCCUUGGGGACAGCCAGAGGGAAACUCAGUGAGUUGCUCACAGUGACCUAGUGAAGAGGAAACCCAGAGCAGGGACAGAGCACAACCUGCCUAAGCCUUCUAACCUAGACACAAAUCUGCCUGUUAAUUCCCUUCCAGUGGCUUCCUGCCACCUAUAUAUAAUAAUGUGGAUGAUAA